GAGUGUAGAAGAUCAGGUCAUGGUUACUGAGAUCAAGGAUGAAGAUACUAAACCCGUGAAUGCAGCAACGACAAUACAUCCUCCGUGAAAGCAGCAGCAGAUAAAUGAUUUGGAAUUAAGGAUGAAGAUCAGCAACUAAUCCUCCGUGAAAGCAGCAGCAGAAGAUAUGAUUGUUAUGCAUUCAAAAUUAACAGAUGUUACCAGCUGUAACUAGAUUUACGUUAGAAGCUAUUUAUGUAAUUAUAUAAAUAUCAGGAUAUGUAUAAAGGGAAGAAUAUCAAAGCAUCAUUGUAAUUUUGAUAUACACAAUUGAUUAUUUAACUUUUCUAUAUGGUAUCAGAGCCCCAAAAGACUAACGUCUAAAUGUCUUCCUCAAAUUCUUCUGCAACCUCAACUCAUUCUUCUGUCAUCUCCAUGCCUUCCGUUGCUACUGUCAAACUCAACCAUGACAACUUCCUUCUCUGGAAAGCACAACUUAUACCAUAUUUCAGAGGACAAGAUCUCUUCGGUUAUAUAGAUGGAUGCAUUCCCAAACCACCAAAAUUCAUCUCUGUCACUCACCCUGAAACUUCUGUUGUCACUGAACGUCUGAACCCAGCCUACUCUCAAUGGGUUCGUCAGGAUAAUCUCAUCCUCAGCACUCUUAUGACUUCUUUAUCUGAGCCAAUUCUUGCUCAAGUUGUCUCUUAUACAACUUCCAAGACUGUAUGGAAUGCAUUAGAGGAUACUUUCUCCUCUCGAUCUCGUGCACGCAUUUUACAAAUCUGCACACAACUUGCAACUGCAACAAAAGGAAACAUGACAGCCACUGAUUACUUUCAUCAUAUAAAAAGGCUCACUGAUGAACUAGCUGUUGCUGGACAACCGCUGAAUCAUGAUGAUAUUCUAACAUAUAUUCUUGCAGGACUCGGCCAUGAAUAUGAUAGUUUUGUGGCCUCCAUAUCAGCACGGACUGAUAGCAUUACACUUGAGGAAAUUUAUUCUCUACUACUGACCUCUGAAGCUCGCCUGUCAAGACAUCAACUCACCCCUGUCAUCCAGCAACCUUCUGCCCAUAUUGCAUAUCGAUAGAACAACUCUCCAAGGCGUGGUAAUUUUCGUGACAGGGGGCGUGCUAAUCGUGGUGGUUACAAUUACAGAAAUAAGACUAAUGAUCAACCGGCUGCUGUUUGCCAGAUAUGUGGUAAGAUUGGACACUCUGCCAAGAAAUGCUAUUUUCGUUUUGAUUUGUCUUACCAGGAAGCACCUCCUCUGCCAACCAAACAUGGCCUGGUUGUUAUGCGUAACACUCUGCGAAGAAAUGAUCAAUCAUACAUGGACCCUGCAUGGCAUGCAGAUACAGGAGCCACAUAUCAUUUUACCAAUGAUGCUAAUAAUUUAACCCUUCAGAAAUCCGACUAUGAUGGUGGAGACAGUGUGCAAGUUGGAAAUGGCCAAGGUUUGAAAAUCUCAAAAACUAGGACUUCCAAAAUUUCCACUCCCUCUUCCACCUUUGUUCUUAAUAACGUUCUUCUUGUUCCUGAAAUACAUAAAAAUUUACUGUCAGUACAUCAAUUCUGUGUUGAUAAUAACGUGUAUUUUGAAUUUCACUCCUAUUAUUUUCUUGUGAAGGAUUACUUGGGGAAUGUCCUUCAUCGAGGCUAUCUUCAUGAUGAACUCUAUCAGUUCACCAAUAAUUCCAGUCUUCCUCAAGCUCUUUCUUGUGUUCGUUCCUAUGAGUGGCAUCGUAGACUUGGCCAUGUCUCUGCUCCAGUUGUCAAUCAAGUUUUAUCCCUACUUUCUUUUCCUGUCACGAAAAAUAAAACACAUGCUGUGUGCCCUGAAUGUCAAAUGGCAAAAAGCCAUGAUUUACCUUUCAAAAAUUCUACGUCUAUUUCACGGCACCCUUUGGAUUUAAUUUUCACCGAUGUGUGGGGACCUGCAUCAGUGUCUUCCACAACCGGUGCUAAAUAUUAUGUUAGCUUUCUUGAUGAUUAUUCCAAGUUUCUUUGGUUAUUUCCUAUUCAACUUAAAUCUGAUGUUGAAAGUGUCUUUUUAAAUUUUCAGACAUAUGUUGAAAAGCAAUUUGACAGAAAAAUAAAAGCCAUUCAAUCAGACUGGGGUGGGGAGUAUCGCCGACUAAACAAGUAUUUUCACCAAAAUGGGAUUAAUCAUCGUCUAGUUUGCCCACACACUCAUCAACAAAAUGGAUCUAUUGAACGCAAACAUCGACACAUUGUCGAAGUUGGUUUGAGCUUGUUAGCUCAUUCACAUUUGCCUAUGAUAUAUUGGGAAGAUGCGUUUCAAACCGUUACCUAUAUCAUAAACCGACUUCCAACACCUGUUUUACACCACAAAUCUCCCUUUGAAAUUCUUCAUAAUAAGGUCCCUGAUUAUCGUUUCCUGCAUGUGUUUGGUUGUGCUUGCUGGCCCAACUUAAGACCCUAUAAUAGAAAUAAACUCAAUUUCAGAUCCAAAACCUGCAUCUUCAUCGGCUACAGUCUUUGUCAUCAAGGGUACAAGUGUCUAGAUCUCUCUACGGGUAAAAUCUAUAUUUCUUGUCAUGUUAUAUUCGAUGAAACACUGUUCCCUUACUCACAAAACAUUGCCUCCGUGAGUAAUAAAAACUCUCCUUCCUUGUCUGCUUCUCUUCCUCCCACAAUUGUUGUGCCACAAUUUUCAUGUCCCACCGAUUUGCAAUCUAACCAUGUUCCUACAUGCACACCACAUGCACCUCUAAUGUUGAUUCCUGCAGAUACAGAUCAAGCUCUGCCUCCAGCACAAUCUACAGCACCAGCAUCAGCUCUCUCUCAGCCUAUUUCUUCAACUACAUCUACGGUUCCACAUGUUGAUCCAGUGACUGUUGCUCCUAAUAUACACUCUAUGGUCACAAGAUCCAAAAAUAAUAUUCAUCGGCCUAAACAAUCCAGUGAUGCUUUCAUCCGUUAUCCUUUACCGAAAGCAUUAACAGCACUUGUUCCUACAACAGCAGAACCAACAUCAUACAGUCAAGCCUCCAAAUCUGUGCAUUGGCGAGAGGCUAUGAAUCAAGAAUUUUCAGCAUUACUUCACAAUGGAACCUGGUCCUUGGUCUCACCUCCCACACAUGCAAAUAUUGUUGGAUGCCGAUGGAUUUACAAAAUCAAACGGAAAGCGGAUGGAGCUAUUGAGCGUUAUAAGGCUCGUUUAGUAGCUAAAGGUUUUCACCAACAAGAGGGGGUUGAUUUUUCUGAGACAUACAGUCCCGUCAUCAAACAUGCCACCAUCCGGUUAGUCAUUUCUAUUGCAGUCACGUAUAAGUGGAAAAUCAAGCAACUGGAUGUGCAAAACGCUUUCUUACAUGGUGAUCUACAUGAAAAUGUUUUUAUGAUUCAACCACAAGGCUAUGUUCAUCCUCAGUAUCCUAACCAUGUGUGCAAACUGCACAAAUCACUUUAUGGUUUACGCCAAGCUCCCCGCUCUUGGUUCUCCAAGCUGUCCAACAAGCUUCUGUCUCUAGGGUUCAGUGAAAGUAAGGCAGAUACAUCUCUCUUCGUGCUACAACAAGUUAAUUCGGUGAUUUACAUUCUUAUCUAUGUUGAUGAUAUACUAAUUACGGGCUCAAAUGCAUCUGUCAUCAACACAAUCAUUCAAUCUCUACAAGACACCUUUGCUGUCAAAGACUUGGGUAAUCUCUCCUAUUUUCUUGGCGUUGAAACACUUUAUUGCACAGAUGGCCUCUACUUGACUCAACGAAAAUAUAUUGAUGAUUUGCUCAAAAGAAGCAAAAUGGAGAAUGCCAAACCAUGCACUAGUCCUAUGGCUUCCAACUGUCGACUAACUUCUACUGAUGGUACUCCAUUUGAAGAUAUCAGCUUGUAUCGCAGUAUAGUAGGCAGUAUGCAAUAUUUGGCUUUUACAAGACCUGAUCUAGCAUUUGUUGUUCAUAAAGUUAGCAAGUUUAUGCACAAUCCUCUGGACACUCAUUGGUUGGCUGUCAAGCGUAUCCUUCGCUACCUCAAACAUUCUAUUUCAACAGGUUUGUUCAUCACCAGCAGUGAUAAUUUCAACUUGCAGGCAUUCUCUGAUUCAGACUGGGCCACCGACAGAGAUGAUCGCAGAUCAGUUGAUGCUUACUGUAUUUUCAUGGGCUCUAAUUUAAUCUCUUGGAGUUGCAAACAACAGCCUACAAUAGCACGUAGUAGCACAGAAGCGGAGUACAAAGCCAUUGCCAAUGCUACUGCAGAACUCAUGUGGUUUAAGUCCAUACUUUGUGAACUUGGAUUGCCUCCGCAGCAUUGCCCCACUUUGUGGUGUGAUAAUAUUGGUGCAACUUACCUCACGUCCAAUCCUAAAUUUCAUGCAAGAACCAAACACAUCGAAAUUGAUGUUCAUUUUGUCCGCGAUCAGGUUUACAACAAAGAACUUGUGGUUCAGUUUAUCUCCAGCAAAAACCAGUUGGCAGAUGCCCUUACCAAACCUUUACCACCAUUUAAAUUCAGAGAAGUUCAACGCAAUCUGCAUGUUCCUGAACUACCCUCCAGAUUGAGGGGGCGUGUAGAAGAUCAGGUCAUGGUUACUGAGAUCAAGGAUGAAGAUACUGAACCCGUGAAUGCAGCAACGACAAUACAUCCUCCGUGAAAGCAGCAGCAAAUAAAUGAUUUGGAAUUAAGGAUGAAGAUCAACAACUAAUCCUCCGUGAAAGCAGCAGCAGAAGAUAUGAUUGUUAUGCAUUCAAAAUUAACAGAUGUUACCAGCUGUAACUAGAUUUACAUUAGAAGCUAUUUAUGUAAUUAUAUAAAUAUCAGGAUAUGUACAGAGGGAAGAAUAUCAAAGCAUCAUUGUAAUUCUGAUAUACACAAUUGAUUAUUUCACUUUUCUAUA
rnacentral:lncRNA from 1 species